rnacentral:tRNA from 1 species
GCCCAGGUCAGAGCACCAUCACCGCUCGAUAAGCCAAGCGCCUUCUAAGCGCUUGGCCGCAGGUUCGAGUCCUGCCGGGGGCG